AGCUUCAUCAUUGGAUUAGGCUUCUUAAGGCUCACCAGUUCAAUUGCGGCAGAAUAAGAAAUCCAGUCCCUGACACUCCAUUUUGGUCAAAGUCCAAGUCCAAGGCUAUUGGCAUAGAAGACAGCCUGUUUUCUUGAACAGUGUGACACAGAGGGG